rnacentral:rRNA from 1 species
UAAUACUGAGGUCCCAAGCGUUGUUCGGAUUUACUGGGCGUAAAGGGUGCGUAGGCGGCUAGAAAGGUUUGGUGUGAAAUCUCCGGGCUCAACCCGGAAACUGCAUUGAAAACUAGAUAGCUAGAGGAUCGGAGAGGAGAUUGGAAUUCUCGGUGUAGCAGUGAAAUGCGUAGAUAUCGAGAGGAACACCAGUUGCGAAGGCGGAUCUCUGGACGGUUCCUGACGCUGAGGCACGAAAGCUAGGGUAGCGAAGAGGAUUAGAUACCCUCGUAGUCCUAGCCGUAAACGGUGCACACUUGCUGUGGGCGGAUUCGACCCCGUCCGUGGCGAAGCUAACGCGAUAAGUGUGCCGCCUGGGGAGUACGGUCGCAAGAUUA